GGAUUGUAAACUUCUUUUAUAUGGGAAUAAAGUGCGGCACGUGUGCCGUUUUGUAUGUACCAUAUGAAUAAGGAUCGGCUAACUCCGUGCCAGCAGCCGCGGUAAUACGGAGGAUCCGAGCGUUAUCCGGAUUUAUUGGGUUUAAAGGGAGCGUAGGCGGAUUGUUAAGUCAGUUGUGAAAGUUUGCGGCUCAACCGUAAAAUUGCAGUUGAUACUGGCAGUCUUGAGUACAGUAGAGGUAAGCGGAAUUCGUGGUGUAGCGGUGAAAUGCUUAGAUAUCACGAAGAACUCCAAUUGCGAAGGCAGCUUGCUGGACUGUAACUGACGCUGAUGCUCGAAAGUGUGGGUAUCAAACAGGAUUAGAUACCCUGGUAGUCCACACAGUAAA
rnacentral:rRNA from 1 species